CUAUUGUAUAUUUUGUCCAUGUAAUGGAAGUCAAAUUGGAACCAAAACCCUUCGGUCACCAACAUUCUUCCAAAUAUCUUCUUUUAUGUUCCACAGAAGAAAACAAGUCAUACAGGGAAUGACAUGAAGGUGAGUACAUGAUAGAAUUUUCAAUUUUGGAUGGACUAUCCCUCUCAUUUAAAUUGUUGUUUUUAUUUUUUCUGCCUCUUUUAACCUCCAUCAUGUUUCUUUUGCCACCUUAUCUCAAAGAUAAUCAGCCACACUCUUUCUAACACACUAACAAACACACUCACAGUCAGAGCUGUCAGUGAGCCAAAUCGUAUGCAGUAAUCCCUUUGUAUUCACAAACCCAUCCAGACAAACAAUGUGUCCCGGCCAUGUCCCACCCCCAGCACACCAGACCUAGGCCACCUGCAAACUCGUCACCAUCCACACAAAUACAAACCAAAGGAUGAAGACCAGCAAGAUUGUGUCAGUGUGUGAUUUACUGUAACAUAUAUCUCUGACACUCGUGCAUGUUAUGAAUUUUCUUUCCAUUUGGAAACUGGUAACCGUGUGCAAAUACUCUCCCUCCAGUCUGUUCUUCUUCUCUACACUCCACUCAUAUGUUCUCCAAAUCCUCCACAAAUCCCCCUCACACAAGCUGAGAUGAUAAGUGAUCCUCUUCUGUUGUCGCCUGGAGGAGACAAUGCUCAACAACUGCGUUCAACAUCAUCAAUCUCAGAGGACAUCCAUCACACAAACAAAAGACGAAAUGAAAACAUCCACAGAGAUGCAAGUGCAAUUGGAGCACAGAAACUGAGGAGUGGGAGUGAUUUUAUGGAAUUGUGAUGACAGGAAUCCUUCAGUUUUAGAUAUACAUCGUUCUUUAUCAGUUUUCCACCAGAAUGCUCUAAAAUUAUACUAUAUGCUUUGCUUUUAUUGCAUUACUCGCUGCUUUUCUUCAAAUAUAAGAUCUCUCAAACUAAGUUUAUCCUUUUUUGCCUGCUUGUCAAUUUACCUUUGGGAAAACCUAAGUUUGGCGCAGUAAGCAGGGUUUUGAACCAACAAGUUCCUGUGGCAACAUAAAGACAUGGUGGUCAAAGCUCUAAUCCAUUCCAAAUGGAUGUACACGUCAAGUGUGUUACAUUAACCUGUUAAUCCUCAGACUGUUUGUGGGAGGGGGCUGGUGGGUUUAUACACAAUUAACCUGGUAGACCAUGCUGCUUCAUGAUUGGCUGAAACAGAAAAAGCCUCAAAACCCUCUCAUUUAAAUGAGUUUGUCAUUGGAUGCUAUUAUCUAAAAACGCUCAGAAGUAAUGACUUUUAUAAUGCUUAACAUGGUUGUUUUUGCCAUAGAAACGAAACCUAUUGUUCACAUAAACCAGUGAGAAAAGGCAAAAAGAUAAUAAUGUUUUAAUCUGACUUGUUGAACCAUACACGCUCAGUCUAUGAACAUUAUGUUUCAUUUUCAGUAAGCGAUGGCUAAAUUUCAAAUAAAAACUUUAGGUUUAAGUUUUGGAAACACAAGAAUGGGCCAUGGGUAAAGCAUGUAAGAGAGUCAGAUCGAGCGGAGAUUGUUGUAGACCACCUCAGGUUAAGCUGACAAUGUCCUGGGAAGACCAACAAGAUUAUAGCUAUGAACACCUGUUCCAGAUCUUCAAACCAGCCAGUGUGACCUGCUGCUCUGACAUUUAGUAACUUAAUAAGAAAUAUGAAGAGCCUAUGAAUAAGCAACCUGUUGACCAGAUGAGAUGGUUGGUUUUUACAAAACAGUUUUAAUAUUCCUAUUUUUUUUUCAUUUCAUGUUUUGCUCAGUUCCUACUGUCAUUUUGACAUAAUUAGUAGCUCAUGUACCUGCUAAUUGUUUUAUUGUGUUCUACUGUCACUCAAAUAAAGAAUUACAAUUAUUCUUACUGUGUGAAUACAUAAUAAGCUUCAUAUCUUG
ensembl:lncRNA